rnacentral:lncRNA from 1 species
AAUUAUUCUCUUUAUUUGGUUUCCAAUUCUAUUAGGAAAAGGAUUGGAAUAGUAAUCCUAUUUGGAGUUGGUUUUGGCUUUGUAAGGAAAAGCACAACUCUAUAAAUAGAGGAUGGUUUUAAGAGAAUAAUUCAGAUUGCUCAUUAGUAUUGUCUUUGAAAGACAUUAGGACAUAAGAGAGGUUUUUUGAGAGAGCUUUCAACAAGAGAGAAAAGAG